CGGCGCGCGCCGUCCCCUCUCGCGAGGCUGGCGCAGGGCGGCCGGGCGGCAUGGCGGCGCCGCGCGACGGGCUGGUUUCCGCAGGAGGAAUUUCGUCGGGUCCCCUGUCUUGAGUUGGCACGUCAAAUCCGUUCGUGAGACACUCAUAAAAAUGAAUAAUAAGAUAAGUAACUUGUUGAACACAGUCAGGUGCUUGCGUAGGUGCGGUCCUGUGCUUGCUCCCAAGUACUCAGCCGCCACAAGAAAACACAUUUCAUGGGUUGGCAGGCACAAGGAUCCCCUGGAAAAUGUGAACUUCAGAAAAUCCUUUCUAAAUAUUUUUCCCUCUCCACGUGGAUCAUCUCUUCGGUUUCUAUCUCAAAAGGCAGAUGUUUUUAGCACAGGUGACGAAAUACAACCAGAGAAGAGUACGGAGGCUGUGGGGAGCGAGCAGGCUCCCCAGAGCUCCUUGGAAUUGAAAAACUUGGAGGAUGAUUCUGAGGGCUUCAAGGCGAAGCCUGUUCUGGAUCAUAACGAACAAUUCUUUAGUAGUCUCCGGAAAUGCACUUGUCCUAGCGAUGUGCUGGAUUUGGCUUCAGAGUCUGCUGUUUCCGUUAAGCAUUACACAAACUGUUUAACUACAGUAUGGAGACUCCUCAAAAGCCUGUCUGAAGACCAGCAGCGUUAUGAGAAGCAGCUGAUCUUUGAGCACCCAGCCUUUGUCAAGCUUUGUCAGCACCUGCUGCGAGACUCCAGAAGGAUGACACGGGCUGACCUGGUGUUCAGUCUGCAUGCUGUGGUGAACCUCGGUGUUCCUCAGAACACUCUCCUAGUCCAGACUUUGUUGAGGGUAUGCCAGGAAAAGCUCAAUCAACUUGAUAACCGGUGUAUCUCGGUUUUGGCAACUACUUUAGCAGGGCUGGAUAAAGACAAGAAUGUGAGCGCUCUUCAAGCUGGAUUACAAUUACUAGCGGAGCAGCGAAUCCCAAGUAUCGGAGACAUCUUUAUACUGCAAAACCUGAUGAAAUGCAUGGGAAAAGAUGCUCCAGUCUUUCUGAAAAAGAAAUUAGAGAUGGCAGUUUUGAAAGAGAUUGACCACCUGACUUACCUAAACGCUCGGCGUGUGUUUUUGGGUCUUGUUGCAAUGAAUUAUUGUUCCAUUCCGAUCCUGAAUGCCUGCAGUAAAAAGAUCCAGGAGAAUAUUCAUGAUGCUCGAUUUUGGCAUUUAAUUCUUAUUCUGGAAGCUUGUCACAAUCUCCAGUACCGUAAUGUAAAACUGUUUUCAACAGUAGCAGACUAUGUUAAUUCCAUUGUCUGCAUUUUGGACAAAAAACAGAUUAUCCUUUUUCUGUCUGCCUUCGAGAUACUUGGCUUUCAGCCCAGUGAAUUGAUGGGUGUUUUUGCUGAGAAGGUGACAGCAGACUCUGAAUUCCUGGACUUGAAAAGCCUUUUGAUUGUUCUCCGAGUGUAUUCACGACUCAACUACCUUCCCAAAGGCCAACAUCAUUUGUUUUUUGAGACUCUUCAGAGCUGCUUGAAUAAGUACCUUCCCCAGAUUUCCAACACAGAACUGCUGAAGGCAGUGUAUUCACUUUGCAUCUUAGGAUACCUUCCUCAUCGUGCACUUGAUCAGCUGCUGCAAAAGGAGAGCUACGAAGGACUUCUACCGUCAGGUGAUCUUUACAAAGAAAAAAAGGAAAUGAUGCUUCGCUGUGUGAGGACAUGUAUGGAACUUGAUAGCCCUUCCUUCACAAAGCCUGCAUUUGUGCCAACUGAGAAUUUCUCCUCAUUAGUAUCUCUUAAUCUCAGAAAGGCUCGGGAGGCACUGCUGGAACUUCUGGGAGAUGAGAAUAUGUUUCGGCAAAAUGUUCAGCUGCCAUAUAAAUAUCAUAUUGAUUUUGAAAUCAGGAUGGAUUCAGACAGAAAGAAAGUGCUCCCAGUAACUGCAACAGAUAAUCAUGCUGACACAAGCGUUCAAAGAUUGGCGUUUCUCUUUGUUCCUGUGUCUGCAUUUUGUUUGGGUACAACACACCCCCAAGGGAAGCUUGCAAUGAAGAAGCGGCAUCUAAAUAAAUUGGGCUAUCAUGUGAUUCUGGUUCUGAAUAAGAAGUUUCAGGAAAUGACAAAUGAAGAUGCAGUUGAGUUUUUAAAAGGAAAAAUCUAUUCUGAAAAUGCUUCCCCUAUCUUAUAAACUAUUUAAAGAGAUUUUACAAUACUCAGGUUUGUUCAUUACAUAUUGUGAUGCACCUCUACUACUAAAAGGUAAAAUGAUAGCAUGGUGGAAUUUAUUAUAUUGGCAGAGGCCUACAAGUUCAAAACAGCUUUAGGAGUUUGAGCUCAAAGAACAUAGAGAACUGGUACAUCUUUUCUGUUCUUGAUAAUUUACUGAUUUUUUUUUUUUUACUGAUUUUUUCUUGAUAUUUACUGGUAAAACCCAUUUGUUGCACUAGAAUUACUGGAGUACUUAGCAAGAGCAUUACAAUGUUUGGACUUACAUACAUUUGCCAAGAACAGGUCGCUUGUUUCUGCUGUACAAUCAGAUCUUCAGCCAUAAUUUUGCUCUACCAUAACCACAGCCAAAUUGGCAUGAAGGGAAACAGCAAUACUUACUACAGUGACCGCACGUUACCUAAUGGUGGUGCCCUUGCUUCACUUGAUAAGCUACAAGUAUGUUCUUUGUCUUUCUGAAGUAGCAUGCAUGUAUGGAUAAGGUAUUACAAUAAUGAAAUAAGGUCAAAAAGAAUGCUUAAAAAAAUUCACUGUGCAAUUUCUUGCAGAACAUGUAGAUAACAGUAUGGUGCACAUUUAUGAAGGAAACCAACUAAAAAGCAUCACAGUCUGGCAUAAAAAGCAUAGAGUGUUGUUCAGCAUUUCAAUCUCUGAAAUACAGCAAGUGCUGAAAAACAGAUUUUUUUGCAAUUGUAAAACUUAACCAGAUCAGAGUUAAUCUGCUUAACUUGAUGUGAAGUUUAUCAUGCCUCUUUUUUUAUCUGCUACUUUAAGGAAGUAUUGUCUGCAUGAACUCAUCUGUAAAGCAGAAUGGUGAGGGCCAUUCUGAUUUUCUGAGCUAGCCAACUGACUCAUGGUCUUUGGCCAGCACUGAAGGAGGUGUGAAAUAUUCUUGUCCGUGCUGGAGUGCUGGGUGGUGCUCAGACCUGUGUUUGAGACAGUAUUUGAUUCUGUUCAAAGGUGAAGCCUUGCAAACCAAGCUACUACAGUGUCAGCUGCAGCUCUCACCUGGUCUGGGGAACUGCUGUUUCUGCUUCAGGCUUUCCAGUCAGGUUCUCAGUAGCAGAUCACUUGAAGGACAUCCACAUACAAAAGGGUGACAAGCUCAGACCACUGUCAUGUAUCACACAAUCAAGACGAAAACAUUGUGGGAAGAACUUACAAGUUAUAUAGCAAACUUCACUGGCUCAGGGAUAACGUUAACCACUGCAGGAUGUAUGAACAGAUCUAAAAUGAGAGCGUGAAACAGGAAGGCAGAAGAUGUGUGCUGCAAGGGUCAAGAAGGCUCUUGCAUGAACAGAAAAUAAACUAGUACCAUCUGAGCAAAAAUGAAACAAAGUUUGUUAAGUAAUGCAGAAUGAGAACAGCAAGGGUCUGGAAAAUAAAACACAAGCAGCUGGAUUUGCAGACCUCGAUGACCUGUGUUCCUCUGCUGCUUGGAUUUGCUUAUGUCUGAAAACACAUUUGAGCCCUAACUCCAGUCUUUUCAGGGGUAUGAAAUAUCUCAAUCACUCAGCCGCUCAUUCAUGUGAAACGUCCAGGAACUCUCCUUAAAACUUCCACUUUGCUCUCAAACUGGCCAAGAGGUUCAAAAAUGACUGGGAAAGAGGGACUGAGUGCAUUGGAAUAGCUUGAUUUUUGUUAAGGACAUCAGCAUUUAAAUAAACCUUGGAAUUAGGGAAUGAAAGUCUGUUUCUCAGGUAUUGCAACUGUUUCUGCAUAUGCAAGAGGUUAAAUAAUGCUCUGUAUGCAGAGGCCAAAAGAUGUGUCUAUUGUCAAUUCCUAAAGUGAAGAAAAUUUUAAUAUCCAGAGCUGAUACUAAGAUUUCCCUCUAAAGCUUGUUUUGUUAGUCACCACUGCAACAGGAAUGAUUUUUUAUUGCUAUUUGUUAACGCUAAGUUAUUCCCAUUCCAUGUGAAUCUCACAGCACACAAGCUGGCAUGAGUGAGGUCUCAGUUUCAGUUACUCUUUGCUGGCAGGAAAAUAUCUGAACUCAAGAAGAAUUGCAGAUGUUAUGUAGAACUCAGAAAAGGUGGAGUAUUUACUCCAAGGCCAAAUGUGCUGAAAUUAGUUAUCUCUGAACAAAAGCAGAGCCAGUAAAAAAACAGCAAUGGAAUAUGAUGGUUAUCUGUCAUUCUCUACGGACAUACUUUUAAAGCAAUUAUGAUAUUUAAGCACACGUUUUACUGAACAUGUAAUCCUGUGUUUCUGUUCUUUGCUAGUGACCAUAGCUGCUUUAGAAGUUCUGCAUUGUUCUUCUCUUUUAUGUGAUGCCAAUGUAAUGGGUUGCUGUAUUCAAGAUCUGUCCUUCUAGCAGCAGCAGUUUUUUGCUUUCUUUCACUAUUUCUGGAUAAUGGCAGUAUGGAGUGAAAGCAUGAAUGUGGUUAAUACUGUAAAUAACAGCCCAGGAACAAGAAGGAUAACCUGUCUUUGGGUCUGCAGCAAGUCCUUGUGUCCAGAGACAACCAGUGACAACAUCCAUUUCAUCCUGUUUCCUCUUUUUGAAAAUAUUCCCAUACUAUACUGCAAUAACAUUGUUGCCAUGGCACCCAUCAAAACCCAGAUAUGCUCCUGCUUUAACGUAGCAAGAUGCAAAUUUUGAUAAGAGGAGAAUUUCUUUUCAUUUUUCACUGCUAUAGGUAUAGGAUUCUAUCCAUGCCUCCAGACAGAUGCAAUUUACUAAACACUCUUUGUUAUUUCUGAAUACAUGCCAUGCAUUAUUCUUAUCAGUUCAACCCACAAAGGGUUCCUGCUAAAUUUUCUGUACUUGCCUGUUUGAUUUUCAUGGUACAGAUUCCUCUAUGUAUGUCAUCUGCACUCGACCACCCUUUAGAAAGGUGGGGAAGUGUGGGGGAAAAGGGGGAGUGGCUCAUCAGCUGGUUUAAAUUGAAGUCAGUGCAUCACAGCAAUAUACACCAGCUGAGGUUCUGGUUCUACAUCUUCAAAGGAGAAAACUUGAACUGAUAUGCAAGCCGUUUUCUUCUUCUGCAACAGAGAACAGCUGGUGAAUCUGACUCUGACUGUAUGCAGCCUAGUGUAAAUAGUGGUAAUUGCCACUGAAGUCUUGAUUUGUACUGAUAGAGUUGGUUGUGGAAGAGAUUAUAUGUGUGUAUGUUCAGACUUUAUUGCACACAACAGCUAGGGAGGGAGAAGAGUCUGGAGCCCACAUCUGAAGUCAUGUUGAUCACGUCAUAAAAGAAUAUUUAAAGUGUAUUUAUUAAAGACAAAUAUUGUGUUCCUGCUUGCCCUUUGUGCUGGCUCAGCAGUUAGAUAUCAGCUUUAGUGGAAUGACAGACAGUUCUGUGACAAAGGCAAUUCUCUGGAAAGUACAAAGGCAACCUAAACCCCUUGUAUGCUGGGGUGUGUGAGGUAAGAAGAGGGUAAAGAUUGCUAAUGCGUUUGUCUCUGUUGUCUUAGAACAUGUUCCAUUCUGUGAAUGAGUGAUUUGCUCAAGGGACAUACUCUCUGCUAAAUGAAUCUUCAUUCUGGGUCACUUUUGUAUAAAUGUAAGGAAAAUGAUGGAGAUCUGAAAAGUUAAGCUGGCAAAAAAUAAAUGUGUUUGGAGAUUUCCUCUGUACCAGUCUAUGCUGAAGGAACAGUACAAAACGAUGAAUGCUUCACUGAUGUCAGCAAGAUUUCAUUCUCAGUAGAGUCAGCACUCCCCCUAAAAGGUACUACUGAGGUGGAUGAAGGUUGGUAUGAUUUCUGGUUAUGCAGAAUAAAAAGAGAACUUUACCAUCUUUUUGU